GAUGAACGCUGGCGGCGUGCCUAAUACAUGCAAGUCGAGCGAACGGACGAGAAGCUUGCUUCUCUGAUGUUAGCGGCGGACGGGUGAGUAACACGUGGUUAACCUACCUAUAAGACUGGGAUAACUUCGGGAAACCGGAUCUAAUACCGGAUAAUAUUUUGAACCUCAUGGUUCAAAAGUGAAAGACGGUCUUGCUUUCACUUAUAGAUUGAUCCGCGCUGCAUUAGCUAGUUGGUAAGGUAACGGCUUACCAAGGCAACGAUGCAUAGCCGACCUGAGAGGGUGAUCGGACACACUGGAACUGAGACACGGUCCAGACUCCGACGGGAGGCAGCAGUAGGGAAUCUUACGCAAUGGGCGAAAGCCUGACGGAGCAACGCCGCGUGAGUGAUGAAGGUCUUCGGAUCGUAAAACUCUGUUAUUAGGGAAGAACAUAUGUGUAAGUAACUGUGCACAUAUUGACGGUACCUAAUCAGAAAGCCACGGCUAACUACGUG
rnacentral:rRNA from 1 species